rnacentral:lncRNA from 1 species
GCAGGGCAGCAGGCUAGAAACUCAGCCAGGGCAGAUGCUGUAGUCUUGAGGCAGAAUUUCUUCUCCUCCGGGAGAAAUCAACCGAUGGUAGAUGUUAACCAAGUCUGUAGAAUAUCUACUCAGCAGCAUCUAGUGCUGGAGUUAAAUAGCUGGGUGCUAUGGUCCAGCCAAGGUGCCGCCUGAAACACCCUCACAUGGUGGGAAGAGCGGUGGUUGAAGAAGGAACCCUGGAGACCUUGAUGUUGAAGAGAGGGCAAGGGAAGAGGUUUUUCCAAGAUGGUCUGAACCUUCCUGACACCGUCUCUCCUGGCCUGACGCACAUCGGCUCGUCCCUCGGGGUCCACUGAAUCCAGGGCCAGCAGCUCUUUGGUCAAAUACUCUUCGAUCAUCAGGUGUGAAGCUGAACAGAUUCAGACGGAGCUGAGAGGCAAGCAUGACUCAGGGUGCAGAUAGGACACGGGAGUUUGUGCCCAGGAACAACGCUGGCACACACCACAGGAUGAUGUGCAGACAGGAAAAUGAGAGGACUUACUGCUUAGGAAUCCUACUAGGAAUGCCUCAAAUCUCAGCUAAGAACCAGAUUAAGAACUAUUUUUUAGCUAUUAAUGCACAGAAUCCAUUGACAUAUCCCUGAGAUGUUUGGCUUCAGGAUUAAAAUGCUGUCUUAAAGCAGCUGCCUUCCUGACUCCUUAUUUCUUUUGAAACUGUGGUGCACGGUGAGGGCAGGCAUGGGGUCUCAUUUUCCUGUCAACAUAGCUCCACAAGCGGUUAAGAUUUAUCCAUAAGCAUUGAACUGAACAAAAUAAUGCACAGCUAUCUCUGUGCUUCUGAAUAGAAAGCCCAGUGUGAAUAAGGAGCAUGGAAAUUAGGCGCCAGAAGGCAGGCCAGGCUUCCGGUCCCAGCUCUGCUCCCUCCACCUGUGUGCAUCUGGAGCAGGCAGGCUGCAGUGUGCCCUUCCGAGCCGUUCCUUAGCUACAAAAAGAAGCCACAUGAUUCCUGCCCUGCCCCACUGAAGAACAGCCCUAUGAGAUGCUGGGGGAUGAUGUGGGGCCAUCACCCUGUCUUUG